CAGAAGAGGCAUUUCGCCAUGUUAAAAGACUGGAGGAAGAUGUUAUUCAUCUCCCAAAAGAGGAUGAAAAUGAUAUGUCUAACAAACAUGAGGAGCAAUUGGAAGAUGAAUUGCACCCCUAUGGGUAUGGUAACGAUGAUUGUGAAAGAUUGGGAGGAUUCAUUAAGGAAAAUGACAUGACAGAAAGAAUCGAUAAGUUCAACCAAGAGGAGAUUAUCUCAUAUGAAUCUGCUCAAGCUUCUCACUGGUCAGAAGAGGUAUUUCACCAUGUUGAAAGAGUGGAGGAAGGUGACAUAAAUUUCACAAAAGUGGAUGAUGAAAAUGAUAUGUCUAACAAACGUGAGGAACAACAUGCACUGAACCCCAAUGGGGAUGUAAAGGAUGAAUGGGAUCGAGUGGCAGGGUACAAUGAAGAGAAUGGAAUUGGAGAAAGAAUGGAUGAUUGGAAAGAAGCAAAGUAUCAUGUGAAAGAGGAAGAGAUGUGGAAUAACAGAGAAGCCCAACCCAAUCGGUCUGAUCAAGAGUAUAUACCUUCAAAUGAAGAGAAACAAAAUCUAUUCGAGCAAGAGCAAAUACCUUCAGGCAGAGAGAAACUGAAUCAGUCUGAGCAAAGGUAUAUCAAUUCAAACGGAGAGAAACUGAAUCAAUCUGAGCAAGAACAUAUACCUUCAGGCGGAGAGAAACUGAAUCAAUCCGAGCAAGAAAAUAUACCUUUAGGCGGAGAGAAACUGAAUCAAUCUGAGUCAGAGUACAUAACUUCAGGCGGAGAGAAACAGAACGUAAAUGCACAAGAACACAUACCAACAGACGGAGAGAAAAUGAAUCAAUCCGAGUCAGAGUAUAUACCUUCAGGUGGAGAGAAACUGAAUCAAUCCGAGCCAGAGUACAUAACUUCAGGCGGAGAGAAACUGAAUCUAUAUGUGCAAGAACACAUACCCUCAGACAGAGAGAAAAUGAAUCAAUCCGAGCAAGAAAAUAUACCUUUAGGUGGAGAAAAACUGAAUCAAUUCGAGCAAGAAAAUAUACCUUUAGGUGGACAGAAACUGAAUCAAUUCGAGCCAGAGUAUAUAAUUUCAGGCGGAGAGAAACUGAAUCUAUAUGAACAAGAACACAUACCUUUAG
ensembl:lncRNA